AUUGAACGCUGGCGGCAGGCCUAACACAUGCAAGUCGAACGGUAACAGGAAGAAGCUUGCUUCUUUGCUGACGAGUGGCGGACGGGUGAGUAAUGUCUGGGAAGCUGCCUGAUGGAGGGGGAUAACUACUGGAAACGGUAGCUAAUACCGCAUAACGUCGCAAGACCAAAGAGGGGGACCUUCGGGCCUCUUGCCAUCGGAUGUGCCCAGAUGGGAUUAGCUUGUUGGUGGGGUAACGGCUCACCAAGGCGACGAUCCCUAGCUGGUCUGAGAGGAUGACCAGCCACACUGGAACUGAGACACGGUCCAGACUCCUACGGGAGGCAGCAGUGGGGAAUAUUGCACAAUGGGCGCAAGCCUGAUGCAGCCAUGCCGCGUGUAUGAAGAAGGCCUUCGGGUUGUAAAGUACUUUCAGCGGGGAGGAAGGGAGUAAAGUUAAUACCUUUGCUCAUUGACGUUACCCGCAGAAGAAGCACCGGCUAACUCCGUGCCAGCAGCCGCGGUAAUACGGAGGGUGCAAGCGUUAAUCGGAAUUACUGGGCGUAAAGCGCACGCAGGCGGUUUGUUAAGUCAGAUGUGAAAUCCCCGGGCUCAACCUGGGAACUGCAUCUGAUACUGGCAAGCUUGAGUCUCGUAGAGGGGGGUAGAAUUCCAGGUGUAGCGGUGAAAUGCGUAGAGAUCUGGAGGAAUACCGGUGGCGAAGGCGGCCCCCUGGACGAAGACUGACGCUCAGGUGCGAAAGCGUGGGGAGCAAACAGGAUUAGAUACCCUGGUAGUCCACGCCGUAAACGAUGUCGACUUGGAGGUUGUGCCCUUGAGGCGUGGCUUCCGGAGCUAACGCGUUAAGUCGACCGCCUGGGGAGUACGGCCGCAAGGUUAAAACUCAAAUGAAUUGACGGGGGCCCGCACAAGCGGUGGAGCAUGUGGUUUAAUUCGAUGCAACGCGAAGAACCUUACCUGGUCUUGACAUCCACGGAAGUUUUCAGAGAUGAGAAUGUGCCUUCGGGAACCGUGAGACAGGUGCUGCAUGGCUGUCGUCAGCUCGUGUUGUGAAAUGUUGGGUUAAGUCCCGCAACGAGCGCAACCCUUAUCCUUUGUUGCCAGCGGUCCGGCCGGGAACUCAAAGGAGACUGCCAGUGAUAAACUGGAGGAAGGUGGGGAUGACGUCAAGUCAUCAUGGCCCUUACGACCAGGGCUACACACGUGCUACAAUGGCGCAUACAAAGAGAAGCGACCUCGCGAGAGCAAGCGGACCUCAUAAAGUGCGUCGUAGUCCGGAUUGGAGUCUGCAACUCGACUCCAUGAAGUCGGAAUCGCUAGUAAUCGUGGAUCAGAAUGCCACGGUGAAUACGUUCCCGGGCCUUGUACACACCGCCCGUCACACCAUGGGAGUGGGUUGCAAAAGAAGUAGGUAGCUUAACCUUCGGGAGGGCGCUUACCACUUUGUGAUUCAUGACUGGGGUGAAGU
rnacentral:rRNA from 1 species